rnacentral:rRNA from 1 species
GAAACGUACGCUGGCGGCACGCCUAACACAUGCAAGUCGAACGAAGUAGCAAUACUUAGUGGCAGACGGGUGAGUAACAUGUGGGUAUCUACCCUUUGGCCUGGAAUAACACGAGGAAACUUGUGCUAAUACCGGAUAAGUCUUUACGGAGAAAGCUUUAUGCACCAUUGGAUGAGCCCGCACUUGAUUAGUUUGUUGGUAGGGUAAUGGCCUACCAAGACUAUGAUCAAUAGCUGAUUUGAGAGGAUGAUCAGCCACAUUGGGACUGAGACACGGCCCAAACUCCUACGGGAGGCAGCAGUGGGGAAUCUUGCACAAUGGAGGAAACUCUGAUGCAGCGAUGCCGCGUGAGUGAAGAAGGCCUUUGGGUUGUAAAGCUCUUUCGUCGGGGAAGAAAAUGACUGUACCCGAAUAAGAAGGUCCGGCUAACUUCGUGCCAGCAGCCGCGGUAAUACGAAGGGACCUAGCGUAGUUCGGAAUUACUGGGCUUAAAGAGUUCGUAGGUGGUUGAAAAAGUUAGUGGUGAAAUCCCAGAGCUUAACUCUGGAACUGCCAUUAAAACUUUUCAGCUAGAGUAUGAUAGAGGAAAGCAGAAUUUCUAGUGUAGAGGUGAAAUUCGUAGAUAUUAGAAAGAAUACCAAUUGCGAAGGCAGCUUUCUGGAUCAUUA